rnacentral:rRNA from 1 species
CAGCCGCCGCGGUAAAACGGAGGGUGCAAGCGUUAAUCGGAAUUACUGGGCGUAAAGCGCACGCAGGCGGUCUGACAAGUCAGAUGUGAAAUCCCCGGGCUUAACCUGGGAACUGCAUUUGAAACUGUCAGGCUGGAGUCUUGUAGAGGGGGGUGGAAUUCCAGGUGUAGCGGUGAAAUGCGUAGAGAUCUGGAGGAAUACCGGUGGCGAAGGCGGCCCCCUGGACAAAGACUGACGCUCAGGUGCGAAAGCGUGGGGAGCAAACAGGAUUAGAUACCCCAGUAGUCCCUGUCUCUUAUAA